rnacentral:rRNA from 1 species
AACGAACGCUGGCGGCAUGCCUAACACAUGCAAGUCGAACGAGACCUUCGGGUCUAGUGGCGCACGGGUGCGUAACGCGUGGGAAUCUGCCCUUCGGUUGGGAAUAACUGAGAGAAAUUUCAGCUAAUACCUUAUAAUGUCUUCGGACCAAAGAUUUAUCGCCGAGGGAUGGGCCCGCGUAGGAUUAGGUAGUUGGUGGGGUAAUGGCCUACCAAGCCGACGAUCCUUAGCUGGUCUGAGAGGAUGAUCAGCCACACUGGGACUGAGACACGGCCCAGACUCCUACGGGAGGCAGCAGUGGGGAAUAUUGGACAAUGGGCGAAAGCCUGAUCCAGCAAUGCCGCGUGAGUGAUGAAGGCCUUAGGGUUGUAAAGCUCUUUUACCCGGGAUGAUAAUGACAGUACCGGGAGAAUAAGCUCCGGCUAACUCCGU